UAGGUGGGUGUCGGAGAUCCUUGCGGAAUGCACGCUGCGCAUGCAAACGCAUCGGGAAUGGGCGGAAUACGCACUGCCGGAGAUCUGGUAGCGCGUAUGC
rfam:Desulfobacteraceae bacterium 4572_123 ex4572_123_scaffold_668, whole genome shotgun sequence.